GAGAAUAGAAUAAGAAAUAAUAAAAAUAUAGAAGAUCGAUGUAUAGGCAAGUGUCAAAAUGAUAAGCAACCUAGGACGAGAGACGGAGCCAGAGAAAGGAAGCACAAAGUGCAGAGAAACGAGAGCGGUAGAGAAACGAGAGCGGUAGAGAAACGAGAGCGGGAGAGAAACGAAUUGGAGCGAUGACCACGAGAGACGAACGAAAAUCGGAGAGAGCUUUGGGGACGACGGAGAGAGAGAACGACACAGCGAUCAGUUUUUGGACGAAUGUUGACGAGAGCGGUCAUGAAGCACCAAGCAUCCUAAGCAUCUGAAGCACGAGACAGCAGUAAAAAAAAAAAGUAAAAUGAAAAAGGCGAAUGUUGUAAUUGGCGAGGAAAGUGGCGGAUAUCACGACAAUGGCGCAAACCACGCUCCCAGAUCGAAGACCAAUAAAGGAAACAAGUUACGGAAGACGCUAAAGUUGGAGAGAAAAAGAAAUAUGCUACUAGUCGCUAAACUCCAGAAGAUGAAGUUUAAGAACAAUCGACUGCAGAGGGCUAUGCCGUUUGAGGAAAGCAUUGACAUGGAACCACGACACUCGACCGCAAUUGACAUAGCGAUCAAUGGCAUUUCUGAAUUGAGGUAUAUUACAUGGAAACACAGAUCUGAUAAUUUUGAUGAUUAUUUCAGGUUGUCGAACAGAUGGCAGUAACUAUAAAUGGUGGUCACGAAACGAUAAUACCUAGUGGAUACAUCGUCGGUCGUAUAGCAAAUUCUACGUCGGUGGUUUUCCUGAUCGAUUCAGGAGCAGAGGUCAACACCGUUAACGAAAGUACCUUUGAUAAGCUUUAUAAUGAUGAAACUUCCAAGAAACAUAUAUAUUGUGUAUCAGAAGGUACCGAUAAACCGCUUCGCGCGUACGCCAGCCCGGGCAAGAUAAACGUUGUAGGAACUUUCGUAACGGAGCUUUUUAUUUCCGAGGAAAGGCCGUGUUUUUUCGAAAAAUUUUAUGUUAUCAAAGGCGGAAAGCGUUUACUUGGAAGGGAUACAGCCUUCGGUACAGUAUGUUGCAGUUAGGACCCAACGUCGUAGUCGAUCGUAGGGACGAUUACCAAAGUAGUGUUGUUAGAUUUCCAGGUGAAAUUUUAGCAGUAGCGACAAAGAAAGAAUUCCCAAAAUUCAAUGUUCCCCCGGUAAUUUUGUCGUAUGACAUUACCAAGCCACCAUCUCGCUAAAUAUUUACGAACAUUCCAUUGCCAUUUCGAGAGGAGACCGAACGUAGACUACAGGACCUUUUAGAUACAGGGAUUAUAGAGCUCGUUACAGAUUCAACGGAUAGGUCAUUCUUCUCUUCUUUACUAGUCGUCCCAAAAAGGUAAAGACGAUAUACGGCUAGUAGUGGAUCUAAGGGGCCCCAAUAAAUGUAUUAUAAGCACGCCUUUUAGAAUGCCAAAUUUGGAGGAAAUUCUGGCCGACCUUCAUGGUGCCAAAUAUUUUUCUAAUAUCGACCUUACAAGUGCGUUCUUCCAUGUAGAAAUCGCAAAACAAUCGCGGCAUCUAGCAAAUUUUUUUGCCGGAAAUGCUACUUACCGGUUCAAACGUCUACCAUUUGGUUUGUUCAACGCCCCUGACAUCUUUCAGGAAAUAUUACAAACAAAAAUAUUGUUGGGCUGUAGUGGACAAAAAUGUUACUUGGAUGAUAUUUUGAUACACGGAAAAACGAAAGAAGAACAUGAUAAAAACAUGAAAGCAGUUCUGGAUCGACUACAAAAUCAUAAUGUACGUAUUAACGACGACAAAUGCGUCUUCGAAAAAACCAAGUUAAGUUUGUAGGAUUUUUUAUGUCAGACAAGGGAAUGCGUGUCGAAGACGAAAAACUAAAAGCAGUUAGGAACUUCCGUCGACCGGAGACUGUGCUCGAAGUGAAAAGUUUCUUAGGAUUUAUGAAUUUUUCAGAGCGUUUCAUUUACAUGCGAGCAGACAAGACAAAACAUUUACGCGAGCUAGCAAAGUCGGAAUCAUUUUACUGGACAGAAUCAGAGGAGGAUGAAUUUGUUUACCUCAAGCACGAAGCGUUGAAGUCAAUUUCUAGAUUAGGAUACUUUAGCUACAAAGAUGAGACUGAGCUCUACGUAGACGCUUCUCCGGUGGGUUUAGGAGCGGCCCUGGUGCAAUUCGAUACUGAUAGUAAGUCACGAAUAAUUGCAUGCGCAUCAAAAGCUUUAACUAGAACCGAACAAAAGUAUCCUCAGAGACAGAGAGAGGCAUUGGCGAUAGUUUGGGGAGUAGAGCGAUUCUCAUUCUAUUUAACAAGCAAAACGUUUACCAUUCGACGAAGAUGACGAAAAACAUGUUCUGUAUACUUUAGGGGGAGGUCUUAUUAGCGUUUCUUGGAGGGAAAUCGAGGAGGCGUCAGAAAGGGACUUGGAACUUGACGCAGUAAGAAUAGCUAUUAGAUCUGGAAGUUGGCCUGACAAUUUUCGAAGGUACGAAGCAGAAAGGAAAUCCAUUCGUUCUCUGGGAUCAUUGAUCUUCAAGGACGAUAAGGUAAUACCACCAACUGAAUUAAGAUCAGAAAUAAUGCAAAUUGCUCAUAAAGGUCAUAUAGGUAUCUCGGCUAUGAAUUGCAUUUUGAGAGAAUAUUUUUGGUGGCCUAACAUGAACCCACCGGUACCUCUUACGAAUCGUACAUUGCCUGACGGCCCUUGGCAAGUCCUCCAAAUCGAUUUUUUUAUCAAUUCCUGGUUGUGGAACAGGCGAGUUUUUAGUAGUUGUCGAUACAUACUCAAGAUAUAUAGCCGUAAAUGAAAUGAAUAACAUAGACGCUAAGAGUACCAUUAUGGCCUUAAACAAAAUAUUUACUAUCUGGGGUUUACCUCUAACUAUUCAGAGCGAUAAUGGACCACCGUUUCAAAGUAGUGAAUUUACUCUUUACUGGGAAGAGAAAGGCGUAAAAUUUUACAAAAUCUAUACCCCUUAAUCCACAAUCUAACGGAGCCGUCGAAAGACAAAAUCAGAGAAUGUUCAAGGCGCUUGCAGCAGCCAAACAUGAAGGAGGCAGUUGGAAGGAAGCCCUAAACUCUUACGUACAUGUACAUAAUAACAUGAAACCACACGCCCGUCUAGGUAUAACACCUUUCGAGUUAUUAGUAGGAUGGCGAUAAAAAAUGGGGAUUUUGCCCGAGCCUUUGGGAAUCCAAAUUAGAUAACCACGUGGAUAGAUGUAACGUACGUGAGCAGGAUAAAUUCUCUAAAAUGAUUAGUAAAAAUAUGCAGACUCUCAUCGAGGGGCAAAAGACUCUAACAUUUCCGUGGGGGAUACGGUUUUUAUUUCAAUUUCCAAGAAAAAUAAGACGGAUGCUACAUUUUCCUUAGAAGAAUUUACAGUUUUGGCUCGACAGAGUGCGAAGGUAAUGCUACAGAACGGUCGAGGCGUACAAUACACCAGGAACGUGGCAGAUUGUAAGAAGGCAAUAAGACAACCAUUACCUAAGACAAAUCCAACGGUCAUACUCUCGAAAAGAAAUAACUCCGGGGAAGGGCAAGUACAGAUAUCGGAUGAUAGUCCAGAAUUUGCUUCACAAAAAAGACCAAGAAGGGAUAUUAGGAUGCCGAAUAAGCUGAGGGAUAUGGUUUUGUAUCAAAUUGAUCAAUAGAGUAGGAGUAGAGGCGAAUGUAGAGAAUAGAAUAAGAAAUAAUAAAAAUAUAGAAGAUCGAUGUA